rnacentral:rRNA from 1 species
GAUGAACGCUGGCGGCGUGCCUAAUACAUGCAAGUCGAGCGAACAGACGAGGCGCUUGCUCCUCUGACGUUUGCGGCGGACGGGUGAGUAACACGUGGAUAACCUACCUAUAAGACUGGUAUAACUUCGGGAAACCGGCGCUAAUACCGGAUAAUCUAUUGAACCGCAUGGUUCAAUAGUGAAAGACGGUUUUGCUGUCACUUAUCGAUGCAUCCGGGCGGCAUUAGCUAGUUGGUAAGUUUACGGCUUACCAAGGCGACGAUGCGUAGCCGACCUGUGAGACGGGUAGGCCACAUGGGAACUGGAACGCCGACAAGACGACUGAGGGACGCACCAGUAGGCAACCGGACGCAAUAGGCGAGAGUAUGACGGAACAAGGCGGCGUGAGUGAUGAAGGUCUUCGGAUCGUAAAAAUCUGUUAUUAGGGAAGAACAAAUGUGUAAGUAACUAUACACGUCGUGACGGUAACUAAUCAGAAAGCCACGGCUAACUACGUG